rnacentral:rRNA from 1 species
CCUACGGGGGGCUGCAGUGGGGAAUAUUGGACAAUGGGGGCAACCCUGAUCCAGCCAUGCCGCGUGUGUGAAGAAGGCCCUCGGGUUGUAAAGCACUUUCAGUGAGGAAGAACGCCUGGUGGUUAAUACCCAUCAGGAAAGACAUCACUCACAGAAGAAGCACCGGCUAACUCCGUGCCAGCAGCCGCGGUAAUACGGAGGGUGCGAGCGUUAAUCGGAAUUACUGGGCGUAAAGCGCGCGUAGGUGGCUUGAUAAGCCGGUUGUGAAAGCCCCGGGCUCAACCUGGGAACGGCAUCCGGAACUGUCAAGCUAGAGUGCAGGAGAGGAAGGUAGAAUUCCCGGUGUAGCGGUGAAAUGCGUAGAGAUCGGGAGGAAUACCAGUGGCGAAGGCGGCCUUCUGGACUGACACUGACACUGAGGUGCGAAAGCGUGGGUAGCAAACAGGAUGAGAUACCCUUGUAGUC